GAAAGAGUCAGUCAACUGGAAAACUGUGUGCCCCCUGAGUAUGUCGAAAUGGAACCGGGGGACGCCCUGUUCUUCCACGCCAACCUCCUGCAUAGCAGCACUGCAAACAAUAGUGACAGAAGACGCUGGGCUUACAUCAUGGCCAUCAACACCAAACACAACAACCCUGUGAAGAAACACCACCAUCCUCAGUACAAAAAACUGGACAUUGUCGACGAUUCUGCUCUGAAGGCUUGUGAAAAACUACU